rnacentral:tRNA from 1 species
AAGAAUAAUAAUUAAAUUUCAAAUUUAAAAAAAUAAAAUUCUUA